GUAAGACGCCAUUGCUAGAUUGCGUUUUCUUGUGUAAAGUCGUGCGUGUGUUCCCGACAUCGGCGUCGGUUAAAAAUCGUUGAUUGAUACACUGUUCCGUAUAGUAACCUUUGGUGAGUGCUACAAAGAGCGCAAGGUGUGUGACCGUAAAGAGUGCGGGUAUCGAUCGAGAGGAAAACUUAAUUAUACACGCUUCGUAAAAUUCGUGCGCCAUUUCGACAAGGUUCUAGAACGAGCCGAAAAUGCCGGGUUUUAGUAGUGUUGGCACAUUUAAAAUCUUCAUCGGUAAUUUAGCCGACAAGACAUCAAACGCUGACAUUAAACCGUUAUUUGAGAAAUACGGAAAGGUCGUAGAGUGCGACGUGGUGAAAAAUUAUGGAUUUGUGCAUAUGGAGAACGAGGAGGCAGGGAGAAAUGCGAUACAGAAUUUGAAUGGACAUAUAGUUCAUAGUCAGCCGAUCAAGUGCGAGGCUGCAAAGAGUCGCAAGGGUCCCAACACUCCUACGACCAAAAUAUUUGUCGGCAACCUUACAGACAACACCAAAGCGCCACAAGUGCGCGAACUUUUCGCCAAAUACGGCACAGUUGUAGAGUGCGAUAUCGUAAGAAAUUAUGGAUUCGUCCAUCUAGAAGCAACAGGUGACGUCAACGACGCCAUCAAGGAGCUGAACGGACAGAUGGUCGAUGGACAGCCGAUGAAGGUUCAAAUCUCCACGAGCAGAGUACGACAGAGGCCAGGAAUGGGUGAUCCCGAGCAAUGCUAUCGAUGCGGUCGCGGCGGCCAUUGGUCCAAGGAAUGCCCGAAAGGAGGAAUGGGAGGAGGACCGGAUAGGAACGGAUACAGAGACCGAAUGUUUGGACGCGACCCGUACCCUCCACCGCCGCCACCACCGUUCCUUCGGGACCGGUUGAUGGGUGGUGGCCGCUUUGGAGAUUACGAAAGCUACUACGACAGGAGGGGCUUCGAGGACACCAGGGACCUCUACGAGAGGCGGUUUACGGGUAUGGGAUCCAUGCGCGACACUGGCUUCUCCCGUGGUAACGAGUACGGAAUGUUCAGCCGCCGAUCACCCCCUCCGAGUGGCAACAACGGCCGGUUCAGUGCACCUCAGGCUGCGUACCAUCUUUGUCCAUGAAUGCGGGCAACCCUAGAGAGACAGUCCCGGGCCAACGUACAAGUCGUGCAAGAUGCCACCCUUGUCUACUUACCUAUCCGCCCUCUUUGUGUCUCACAAGUUGCUCCUCUCUCUUAGUCCGUGUAUCAAAAUCGUUCUGUCUCGACCUCGUGUAACUGACGUGGCUGCUUCAUUUUGGUUACCAGACCGGGAUUACGAGGGCCAUCGCCGUCGCGCCGGUUCGCACCAUACUAAAUCGUCGCGUCGGGCUCGCUCGGAUCGGUCUGUCGGUCUGUCUGUCGUCUGUCGGGUCUGUCUGUCGCUAGCAGGAAGCCUCGGGACCGAGAUACUCUUGGCCGUCUGUCGAUCUGCACGCGCGAAGAUCUACUAUAAUCGGCUGACUCUAACAGAAAAAAAAAAAUAAAAAAAAAAACACAUGUACCAAUCCCUCGCCGUCAGUGCGCAUAUUUUGACGAGAAAAAAAAAAGAAAGAAAAGAAAACAAAAAAAAAACAAAUACAAAAAAAAAUACAUGAAAAGAAACAAACAAACAAAAAAAAUCCGAAAAAGCCAGACGAGAAAAUUAAGCAGCAAACAGAAAACACGAGCCGGAUUUUCGUCGAAUCUUGCAGACCUUGUCUCACACACGUUUCCCCUUCUUCACUCCGGUCCGGUUCUCCCUUGUUCCACGAAGAUAUAUGCACGUCGCUUAUUAUAUUCGUUCCCCGUCGUGUUAGACAGACUUUCCGUAAUUUAACCUCGUAAUCGACGAGACACCGCCGUUUAAUCGUAUGUAGGCGUUUUCUUCGAUGUAAGAAGAUGAUGACGAUAUAGCAUCCUCCUACCGAGUGAAUCUUUCGAACCCUGUACUCGUCAAAAAUAUAUAUAUGUAUAUAUAUGUAAUCGCGUGUCGAUUCACGGCGGUCAGUUUUCCACCGCGAAACGAUAACCGUCGUUUCUCUCGUUUAGAAGGUAAUCGAGGAAUGUAAAGAGCUCGACGAACGUUUCGGUAGGACGAUGCUUGGCGACGCUAAACAACACAACACCGCGUCGACGAUUUCUUGAGAUGACCGUUUCUGUGACGAUGACGCGCGCGCGCGUGCCUGCUUUGCCUUCCAUCCGUGGACACAAUUCACGUGCUUUCUUUUCUCCCCUUGCGAAAACACAGUCGAUCGGGUCGUGUACCUGGAGGAAACGCUCUACUUUCGAUGACCAACGUGAUAGCCGGUAUUGUGUGAAUUUUGUUCAUGUUACGUAUCUGAACGUAUGAGAAUCGUUGUUAGUUACGUUUUUUUUUAUGGAUAUAGAUGGAAAAGAAAGACACCGACCCCUUUUGUGCGAUCGGCUGCGCUUCGUAACGCGUCGCUAUCACAAAAUCGGAGCAUCGUGUGAGAACGAUACCUUUGUUUCACUUCUUAUAAAGCGGAACGUCGCGACGAUGAUUUUCGAGUAGCUAUUCCGUACGGCACGUUUUGCUCAACCAAACGGACUUCCGUGAUGCGUGUGAAAGUAUAAUUGUAAAAAAAAAAAAAAAACCAAAAA